UUAAAAUUGCAACGGACUCCAAAAAAAAAGAAGCGCGACAGGGUGGAUUGCACCAUCUUCCAAGAGGGAGCGGGGGUGGGCACUCCGCCUAAAUGAGUUUAUUUUGCAUUUAUACAAAUUAUAUUCAUCUAAAUAAGUUCAUAUUACUUUAUAAUGAUUAAAAUCGAGUCACACUCAUUUGAUAAUUGAUAAAUGGUAAGUCGUUUUUGCCGUCAUAAGACACUGAAUUAUGGUACGUUCCAGGUCAUGGUUCAGACGGGUCAGACAGAGCAGGGGCAAACGCAGGUCGGACUCCAGCUAGCUAACUGCUAGCUAACUGCUAGCUAACUGCUAGCUAACUGCUAGCUAACUGCUAGCUAACUGCUAGCUAACUGCUAGCUAACUGCUAGCUAACUGCUAGCUAACUGCUAGCUAACUGCUAGCUAACUGCUAGCUAACUGCUAGCUAACUGCUAGCUAACUGCUAGCUAACUGCUAGCUAAAAACGGGGGAAAUGAUUUGGCGCUGUGUUAUUUGCUUUGUGUUCGUGGCUCUCACUCUCAAAUCUUUAUUGAGUCAUAUUAAUACUGCUCAUAGUCGCAGUCCAGAUUUUCGCGUUGUUUGUGGAAUUGAUGGAUGCACCAUAGAUUAUCGAGUCUACAACUCGCUAUGGUAUCACAUUAGAAGAAACCACCACGAACACCUGGAAAGUGGCAGCAGCAACUCACGGAGAGAGAGGUCAACAGCAGGCCCGGAAGCCUCUUCAGCGGUGAAUGCGUGGGCAUACAGGCCAGCUGAGAGAGCAUCAAACGGAUGAAGCAGUGGUGGACAACAGGGCGCAAGAUGUAAUGACUGUUGGGUCAUGUCCUGCUGUAGACUCUUCUGCAUCAUGUCAGUCAGAGGAUGACAUCAGGCGUAACACUCUGACCAGACAAGCUACUGCUAUUAUGUUGACUGCAAGAGAAAAACACCAUCUUUCACAGAGAGGUGUGAAUGAUGUUGUGGCAGCAAUGCAGCAAUAUCAAGCCCUGUUGGUGACUAAUCUGAGGAGUCAGCUACAAACUGUAUUCCAGCAACAUCAAGGAAGUGAACUUGAAAAGGAAGCAAUGGCAGUAUUCGACCGGAUUGAGGAUCCAUUUUCCUCUCUUGCAACAACAUACAGGCAGGACAACGUGAUUAAGGAACAUUUCAAUUUUGUGGAGUCAGAGGAGGUUUCUGUUGGGUAUACUGCCUGCUUGCAGAAAAAAGGGACAAAAAGGGUCCUCUCCACAAUAACAACAUGUUUUCAUUACGUACCUCUGAUUAAAAGUUUAGAACAGUUAUUGUCCCAUCCAAAAGUUUUAGAAAUGAUAGAUCAGCUGCAAAAAUACACAAGUGGUGGUUAUCUGUAUGACAUCAUAGAUGGAGAGCUCAUGAAAUCGCACCCUUUAUUUUCCGCCCGGCCCUCUGCUUUACCUGAGUUUGGACUUGUGAGCAAUAUCUAUGUAAUUAACUCAUCAUUAUAUUGUUAUAUACUAAUGUUCGCUAUGAUGGAAAUUACAUGGCAUAUACAAUAGAGAUUCCAAACAUGGCACAAGCAACUGAACUCAUAGCAUCUGAUAAUCUGGUAGAUUUCACUCCAUAUUAUAGUUAUACUCACAAGGAUGUGACAUAUGUCCCUACAAAAUAUUAUCUGGGAGAUGUGCUUGGGCUACACAGAGCCUCAUCUGAUGGACUGUAAAAGGCGCACUGUUUAAUGUGUUAACAUUAUGUGCCACAAACUGUGCUUCUUGACCGUCAAAUGUUGUUGUUUCAUGAUUCUUUCUUCUUCAGAUGAACAAUCAGUUAGCAGUCAGAUGCCGAUGCUGCAGGAUACUGCAUGUUCUUUUGUGAUUCAGGAUGCAAUUGGGCCAUUUUUUCAUUUUGUUUUGUUUAUGGGCCAUGCAGUUUUCAUUCAGCAUGGUUAUUUGUAUUAUGUUGUGUGUUGUAUAGACAAGUCUGCUGUCAUCUUAAUAUGUUGGAUAUGAAGCAGCAGGCUCUGCCCUGCAAUGGAAAUAAUAAUAAUAAUAAUUAAAAAAAAACUUUAAUUGUC